rnacentral:rRNA from 1 species
GUCUACAGCCAUGCUACCCUGGACUAGCCUGAUCUAAAAAGCUUAGUAGGGUUAGGCCUGGUUAGUACUUGCAUGGAAGACAGCCUGGGAAUACAGAGUGCUGUAGACC